rnacentral:rRNA from 2 species
AUGGCUCAGGAUGAACGCUGGCGGCGUGCCUAAUACAUGCAAGUCGAGCGAAUGGAUUGAGAGCUUGCUCUCAAGAAGUUAGCGGCGGACGGGUGAGUAACACGUGGGUAACCUGCCCAUAAGACUGGGAUAACUCCGGGAAACCGGGGCUAAUACCGGAUAAUAUUUUGAACUGCAUGGUUCGAAAUUGAAAGGCGGCUUCGGCUGUCACUUAUGGAUGGACCCGCGUCGCAUUAGCUAGUUGGUGAGGUAACGGCUCACCAAGGCAACGAUGCGUAGCCGACCUGAGAGGGUGAUCGGCCACACUGGGACUGAGACACGGCCCAGACUCCUACGGGAGGCAGCAGUAGGGAAUCUUCCGCAAUGGACGAAAGUCUGACGGAGCAACGCCGCGUGAGUGAUGAAGGCUUUCGGGUCGUAAAACUCUGUUGUUAGGGAAGAACAAGUGCUAGUUGAAUAAGCUGGCACCUGACGUACCUA